CAUAUUUAUACUGUGGAUCCUUUUUAAUUUUUUCAUCUCCUCACCAGAAGCACCUUACCUUUGGCUCUUUAAACUCCAGAUCCUCUCCAUACUGGAUGGUGAAGUCUAUGUGCUGCAGGACGAUGUUGAUACUUUCCUCGUCAGAGCGGUCGAAAGGCAGAAAUCGAACCAUUCCAUAGUCAUCGAUCUGGAGGGAGGAGCCAAAAGAAAAUCCACUUUCAAAUGGGUACCUUAAACGAUUCCACCAUAAACUGAGAAUCCACAAGGAAGACUCCACAGACACGGAAUUCCCACUGCUGGAGCUGCUCCACCAGCUGUUUCAUCACUGGCAGGUGCGUGUAGAGCUCGAUCUGACCUGGGGCACACUCAGGAUAUCAAUGGGUAGGAAUGGGAAGCAAACAGGAAUAUUUUGCAGUUGUAUAUAAACAUGGAAUUACACUUAAUAUAAAUAAAAACUGGUAAGAAAAGCAUCCUCUUUUAGGCAACUCUGACUGGUGAAGUGGAAAAGAAAUAAAAGGGGUAUUUUCCCUCCCUUGACCUCCAA